GAUAAACGCUGGCGGCGUGCAUGAGACAUGCAAGUCGAACGGACGAUCUCGGGCUUGCCUGGGAUCGUUAGUGGCGAACGGCUGAGUAACGCGUGGGUGACCUGCCUGGAAGUGGGGAAUAACUGCCCGAAAGGGUGGCUAAUACCGCAUGUGGCCAUACGUUCGGUCGUAUGACCAAAGCCGCAAGGCGCUUCCGGAGGGGCCUGCGUUCGAUUAGCUCGUUGGUGAGGUAACGGCUCACCAAGGCGACGAUCGAUAGGUGGUCUGAGAGGAUGAUCACCCAGACUGGGACUGAGACACGGCCCAGACUCCUACGGGAGGCAG
rnacentral:rRNA from 1 species